rnacentral:rRNA from 1 species
CACGGGGGGAGCAAGCGUUGUUCGGAAUCACUGGGCGUAAAGGGCGUCUAGGCGGUCGGAUAAGUGGGAUGUGAAAUGCCCCGGCUCACCCGGGGACCGGCAUCCCAAACUGUCUGGCUUGAGUAUGGGAGAGGAUGUGGGAAUUCCUGGUGUAGCGGUGAAAUGCGUAGAUAUCAGGAGGAACACCGGUGGCGAAGGCGCACAUCUGGCCCAAUACUGACGCUAAAGCGCGAAAGCUAGGGGAGCAAACGGG